AACUCUGCCUUAGAUUUUCUCUCUACUGGAGAGGAAUGUCGCAAUGUUGGGGGUAGAAAACUCUGGGUUUGCGACCGUAGCUUUCGUUUUCCGGCCAAUAGAGAGCCGCCUGAAGGCUGGUUGGGGUGGUGAGGCCCGAGGCAGCUUCUGGAAUUUCUGAGCAGCCCUGGUCAGUACAAGAUGGACCCAGUAGUCUUGAGUUACAUGGACAGUCUACUGCGGCAAUCAGAUGUCUCACUAUUGGAUCCUCCAAGCUGGCUCAAUGACCAUAUUAUUGGGUUUGCCUUUGAGUACUUUGCCAACAGUCAGUUUCAUGACUGCUCUGACCAUGUCUGCUUCAUCAGCCCUGAAGUCACCCAGUUCAUCAAGUGCACUGGCAACCCAGCAGAGAUCGCCAUAUUCCUUGAACCCUUGGACCUCCCUCACAAGAGAGUUGUAUUUUUAGCCAUCAAUGAUAAUUCCAACCAGGCAGCUGGGGGAACCCAUUGGAGUUUGUUGGUUUAUCUCCAAGAUAAAAAUAGCUUUUUUCAUUAUGAUUCUCAUAGUAGGAGCAACUCAGUCCAUGCAAAGCAGGUAGCGGAGAAACUAGAGGCUUUCUUAGGCAGAAAAGGAGACAAAUUGGCCUUUGUGGAAGAGAAAGCCCCUGCUCAACAAAACAGCUAUGACUGUGGGAUGUACGUGAUAUGUAACACUGAGGCCUUGUGUCAGAACUACUUCAGGCAACAGCCAGAAUCGCUAUUGCAGCUACUCACUCCUACGUACAUCACAAAGAAGAGAGGAGAAUGGAAAGAUCUCAUUGCCACACUUGCUAAAAAUUAGCUGUUGAAAUAUAUUUGUGACUUUUGAAGUCUCCUCUUUCUGCCUCUCCCCAUGUAUUGGAUGGCUGCAACCUCAGUGCCUGAGGGAAGAUGCCUGGUAGAGGAAAGGUAUCAGACAGACCCCCUUGGCCUGGUCCCUGCACUGUCCCAGGCCCACCUUGGACACCUCCAUUACACUCAUGGAGAACAGAGCCCGUGGAGUGGAGGACCCUCCUGCAUGGCCUGCAGGUGACAUGGAAAUAGCAGCUGAGGACACAGAAUGCUGGACCUCUAUUCUCCUUCACAGCCACUGCCACAGUCCCCUGCUGCAGGUAGUGUCCUCUCAGAUUCAGCCAGCCUCCUCAUGAGGGGCCAGAACAGAGCCUCUGCACAGAGCGUGAACACUCCUCUUGCUGGAAUCCUGGCCACAGGCCCUCCUCUCCUCAUUCAUAGCUUACCUCACUCCCUCCAGUCUGCCCUGCAUGGGUCACUGGCUGACUGCAGAGAAGUCCUUUGGGCCCCAAAACAGGGACUCUCAGGCGUCCAUGUGAGAGCACAGUAUGCCGGGAGAGAGCGGAGCCCACACUGGUGGUUUGGGUUCUGGCCUCUGUCCCACCACUGGAGUGAGCCAAGUGACAGGUAUCAAAGCAUGGCCUUUGUCCCUUGCAGUGGCCCCAAGUGCUCUUCCUGUGUGUCAGAGCCGUUUCCAAGGAACAAGUUAAAUUUUUUUUUUUUCAUUUAAGUGGUUGCUGAGGCUUAGUGUACAGAAUUCCUCAGCUAGAUCCAAAAAUCUGGCUUUUUGUCUGAGUCCCAAAAUUGUAGGAGCUUUGUAAACAGGUACUAAAGAUCACUCAUUAAAGGAGGGAGAAGAGUUGGGGGGAGGAGGAGGGAUCUGGAAUAUUUUCUUUCAGACUCAGUCUCUGCACAGCAGCAGCAUAAACCAAGGGGAUUGUUGGUGGCACCUUAGCACCCAGAGCAUUCUUCUUGGAGGAGUGGGGACAAAGGCCCAGUGGCUGUUACCUGCACACAGGAGAGAUGACCAGGUCAGACAAAGGGCCUAGAAGGCAGACAGAUGAGUCAGUGAGGACUCUGUCCACCCAUGAGAGGGGGUCCAGGUGGGAUCUGUGUACCCUGCCCAACCUUGCUGAGGGCCAUCAAGCCAGCUCAAGGGCAAGGCCAAGACCAGCCAGACUAACAAGCAGCCUGGCCAUAGGUUUUGGCUGCUGUCCUUAACCCUCAAUCCCAGAAGCAUGAGAAAGAGAAAGGGCAUCACCUGUGCCCAGGGACUGAGCCACCCCAAUUCAGGGAGCAUAACUGCUGUUCUAGCCGGGAGAUGCGGAACGCCAGGUACGACGAAGACAUGACCAAGAAGCAGAUCCUGGAGAAAGAGGGUUUCACGUCUUGCCCCUCUCCACAGCCUUAACCCUAAAUUACAGGGCUGUAGGGAUGAAAACUGGAAAUACUUUAUCUUGCUCUAGAAGAGCCUGCUGCACGGCCGCCAGACGCCACCCAGGAGCUUGCAGUUGACUCAGAACCUUCCCCUCGCUCUGGACACUGACCUCCCCACACACCAAGGCCCCGGCUCUAAACACUCAGACACCCACCACCCUCCAUACAGUCACCUACAGCACGAAGAAGACCUUCAGGAGCCCGUGAUCCCAGAGCCUCAGCUCCCCGUUGCUCUUGGGCUGCUCCUCCAGCUUCUCCUCCUCACAGUCUGCAUUCUCUGCAACAGGAUGGCGUUAGGCAUCUUCCUGGGGCAGAAGGCAGGACCCCAGCCCACUCCCCCACCCGUAUUCUCUGAAGCCGCUUGGGCUCUUGGCUUUCCCUUAUGGAUUUGGAGAAAGAAAGAAACAGCUCUCAGAAGCCCUGCUGGCUGUGAUGACCUCUUUUUGCAGAAGUGGGAGGCGGGAAAGCCUGGUCUUUGCAAGCAGUUGCCAUGGACAAGCACGCUGAACUCACCAGACCCCGGAGGCUUCCUGGAGGGGAAGAAGUCAUCCGUGGAGUCCAUGGAUGCCCGAGGGAUACAAGGGAUGUUGUCUGGGAGGGACAGGGACCUGGAGGCAGGGCACACUUUUCUCCACUUCAUCUCAGGGAUGAGGACUUCCUGCAGAGAAGGCAGGAGAAGCUGUCUCACCAUGGCCCUUGGGACCUCACUUGCCCUAAGGGAUUCACGCUAGAUUUAUCAAAGCCUUUCCAGAUAUUAUCAAUAUGGAUACCUAGCAAGCAUGAAAGCAGGUGCCCAGAAGCGGGGAAACCACUGCCUCAGCAAUCACAUGUUUCAUCUGCUCCCUUGCUGUGACCAGCCACUCUUCCAGGGAAUGGUGUCUUUGAAGACUGCUAGUAUAGAACCACAGUGGAAUCUAAGACAGCCAUCCCAGGUACAUGUUCAGAUCGGCUGAGUCCAAGAGAGCUUGGCACUGUAUAUCUUAGAUGGAAUAAGUUGUGACUCCUGCUAAUCUGGGCUCUAACCCUAUGUCACUGACCUUGACUUAAGGUCCCCAUCAAUAAAAAGGGGAACAUCGCCUUCCAUCCCCUGCAUGGCAUUGUGCAUAUUGUAUGCUUGGCUAAACGCUUAAUAGUUACUGAAGGAGACUUCAAACACCCUGGGGU